AACGUCUCAGUUCGGAUUGUAGUCUGCAACUCGACUACAUGAAGCUGGAAUCGCUAGUAAUCGCAGAUCAGAAUGCUGCGGUGAAUACGUUCCCGGGUCUUGUACACACCGCCCGUCACACCAUGGGAGUCGGAAAUGCCCGAAGCCGGUGACCCAACCAAAAGGAGGGAGCCGUCGAAGGCAGGUCUGAUAACUGGGGUGAAGUCGUAACAAGGUAAC
rnacentral:rRNA from 1 species